rnacentral:misc_RNA from 1 species
UUUCGACAGUUUCGUCGGACUGCGCAUGUUUUGACAGCUGAACGGCUUUUUUACCAGUAAUUUUUACAAGAUUUACAAAUAUUAUUGAGAUAUCGAAUUCUAUAACUAGCUAUGGCGUGCGCACAAGAGGAUCGCCUGAUGACCGCUGCCAUAGAUUUUGGCACGACCUACUCGGGCUAUUGCUUCUCGUUUCGCCACGACUUUGAGAACGACCCCCUCAAGGUCUCGGCCAACACUUGGACGGCGGGGACGGCUGGCCUCGUGUCCCUCAAAACCCCCACCACCGUACUACUGGACAGCAACCAGGAGCUGGUGGCGUUCGGAUACGAAGCGGAAGAUCGCUACGCGGAGUUAGCGGAAGAUGAGGAGCAUGCAGAAUAUUACUACUUCCGGCGAUUCAAGAUGACCUUGUUUCAGUCAUCAUCUCGACUGACGCGAGACACCAUGCUAAAAGAUAUGGCCGGUGGAAAGCAAGUUAAAGCCAUAAAAGUAUUUGCACAUGCUAUCCGGUAUCUGAAGGACCAUAUGUUGAAUACUCUGGAGCAGCCUCUUUGUUCUGUAAAUAUCUGCCCAUAGAAAAGCUACAGGGCUCGGAAGGAGGAAUCGGUGCUUUUAAGCCCGGAAGUCGAUAUCUUGUGCUUGACGCAGGAGGAGGAACUGUCGAUAUCACUGUACACGAGGUUCAGUUCAAUGGAACGUUGAAGGAGCUGGACAAAGCUAGCGGUGGGGCCUGGGGCGGGACUAGAGUGGACGAGUCCUUCAAAGAAAUGCUGGAGGAGAUAGUGGGCGGGGGCAUGCUGGAAGAGUUCGCCUUGUCGCACACUGCCGACUACAUCGAUCUGUUCAGAGAUUUCGAAACCAAAAAACGCAACGUCAAAGACGACUCCCCCGGGAAAAUCACCCUACGAAUACCAAUCACUUUACAAGAGUUGUACGAGGAACGAGGAGAGGGAGAAAUUAAGAAGAAGAUUCGUCAAACCAAAUACAAAGAUGACCUCACGUGGGUGGGCGAUCGUCUGCGCAUCGACAAACCCCGUUUUGUUGAGCUGUUCUCGGCUGCGUGUGAUGGGAUGGUGGAUCACGUGAAAAAGUUGCUGAAAUCACCCAAAGUUCGAGGCACAAACAACAUCCUGAUGGUUGGAGGAUUUUCUGAAUCCCCGUUGCUACAAAAAAGGAUUCGAGAGGAAUUCCCAAGUUGUCGAGUGAUCAUUCCUCAGGAAGCUGGGUUAGCGGUGUUGAAAGGCGCCGUUAUAUUUGGACACCAGCCUGCCACAAUUGCAGCACGUAUUUCAAAAUACACCUACGGGAUAUCAACCAACACAAAAUUUGAUCGCAGUAAACAUCCCAUGUCGAAAUUGAAAAUGGUAGAAGGCAAAGAGAAAUGUAAAGACGUUUUUGAUAAACAUGUCUCAAUAGGACAGCUACUGGAAAUAGACGAUGUACAGAGUGAAAAGAGUUACUGGCCUUUGUAUUCAAACCAGACCCAGGUGUCACUGCCCGUUUAUACAUCUACGAUCGAGGAUCCGUCAUUCGUUGAUGAGCCCGAGUGUAGUUAUCUGGGAAAGUUAACCGUCGAUAUUCCUAAACACGGUUCUGAUAAAGAAGUAUCGUCUAGUUUCAUCUUCGGAGGAACUGAACUUAAAGUACAAGCCGUUGUCAAAAGCACGGGGGAAACCACAAGUGCUAAUUUUGACUUUUUAGAAGGGGAGCCCUAGUCGUAAAAACUACAGAGUGAGCAAUAAACUGCUGGAAUGGAAGAAUUAAGGCCACUUCGCAAAUUCGUCAUAUUUCUUGACACAAGUGAACUACUUGACAGACUGAUUGUUCAUUUGUUAUUAUAGCCCUAUGGUCUACAAAUUAUAUUUUACAAUAAAUACUAGCAAC